rnacentral:rRNA from 1 species
GGCGAGUGAAGCGGCAACAGCUCAAAUUUGAAAUCUGGCUCUUUUAGAGUCCGAGUUGUAAUUUGCAGAGGGCGCUUUGGCUUUGGCAGCGGUCCAAGUUCCUUGGAACAGGACGUCACAGAGGGUGAGAAUCCCGUACGUGGUCGCUGGCUAUUGCCGUGUAAAGCCCCUUCGACGAGUCGAGUUGUUUGGGAAUGCAGCUCUAAAUGGGAGGUACAUUUCUUCUAAAGCUAAAUAUUGGCCAGAGACCGAUAGCGCACAAGUAGAGUGAUCGAAAGAUGAAAAGCACUUUGGAAAGAGAGUCAAACAGCACGUGAAAUUGUUGAAAGGGAAGCGCUUGCAGCCAGACUUGCUUACAGUUGCUCAUCCGGGUUUCUACCCGGUGCACUCUUCUGUAGGCAGGCCAGCAUCAGUUUGGGCGGUAGGAUAAAGGUCUCUGUCACGUACCUCCUUUCGGGGAGGCCUUAUAGGGGAGACGACAUACU